CAGACAGCCAGGAUGUUGGCUUAGAAGCAGCCAUCAUUUAAAGAAAGCGUAAUAGCUCACUGGUCGAGUCGGCCUGCGCGGAAGAUGUAACGGGGCUAAACCAUGCACCGAAGCUGCGGCAGCGACGUUUAUGCGUUGUUGGGUAGGGGAGCGUUCUGUAAGCCUGCGAAGGUGGCCUGUGAGGGUUGCUGGAGGUAUCAGAAGUGCGAAUGCUGACAUAAGUAACGAUAAAGCGGGUGAAAAGCCCGCUCGCCGGAAGACCAAGGGUUCCUGUCCAACGUUAAUCGGGGCAGGGUGAGUCGACCCCUAAGGCGAGGCCGAAAGGCGUAGUCGAUGGGAAACGGGUUAAUAUUCCCGUACUUGGUGUUACUGCGAAGGGGGGACGGAGAAGGCUAUGUUGGCCGGGCGACGGUUGUCCCGGUUUAAGCGUGUAGGCUGGUUUUCCAGGCAAAUCCGGAAAAUCAAGGCUGAGGCGUGACGACGAGGCACUACGGUGCUGAAGCAACAAAUGCCCUGCUUCCAGGAAAAGCCUCUAAGCAUCAGGUAACAUCAAAUCGUACCCCAAACCGACACAGGUGGUCAGGUAGAGAAUACCAAGGCGCUUGAGAGAACUCGGGUGAAGGAACUAGGCAAAAUGGUGCCGUAACUUCGGGAGAAGGCACGCUGACAC
rnacentral:rRNA from 1 species